AAAGGCCUCAUUCAGCAUGUGCAAAAGCACGUCCAUUUAUAGAGGCUUAGGACCUCGAGAAGCAUUUUUUGGAAUAACAGAUAAGGCUACCAGGGCUGGAUUUUUUGUUUAAAUAAUUGUAAUUUCUUCUGAUUUUUUAGACUAUUUUUGAAUUUCUUUUUCUUUUUUUUUGCAUGGCGGCUCAUUAGAGAUGUUAUGUAAUGAUUGCAACAGAACCUGAAACCMCUGGAAACUCGCAGGUUUUAUUGCAAACUUGAAAUUCAAUCCAGGUUCAUCAAAGGUUUGCUGUGAUUCCAAAUCCUUUCCAGCCAACAUGUGGCAAUUGAUAGGUUUGCCUGUAACCCCCGCGAGCCCUCAGGUUUUCCUAGCAAAAACAGGCAAAAUGCAGCAGUUUGCAGUAUAUGGCACCAAAGUWCGUGAACACAUGGAAGAAGAAACAUUGACCUCUGGAAGGCUGGGCGCUUUGUUUGGGUGCAGUGGCUGGACACCCACGUGUGCUCAGUGCAGAACGAAGUGCGCCAGCGAACACUGGCUCCUUGUUCAGCCUCCGAGGAGGAGGGGAGCAGUGUGUGGAGGAUCUUGACGCCUGGUGCCGCAGGAAGGAUGGGCCACAUACUGAUCCCAAGUAAACAGGAAAUUCUGCUGAGUGAGAUCCCUCCUCACAUUCCCAUUAAAUAGCAACAAAUGGGWUUUGGAUUGCCCUUUCUUCUCUUGACUGGAGAGUUCAAGCUUGAGAAGCACAGGAGAAAAGCGUGCAGCUCCACUUGUUCCUCCACGUAUGUAUCUGUUGAGCUAUCACACAUAUUUCAUUCCAGGUCUCCUUCUAAAAUAUCUGGCACCGAGACAAAUACUUCAACUGACGUAUCAGGUUGGAGAUCAUUUUUAUGUCAUAGGACAUGAAUGGAUUUAUUUUUGUUCCAGCUUUUACAUUUUUAGAGCUCUAAAUGUUU